rnacentral:snoRNA from 1 species
AUCCUUUUGUAGUUCAUAAGCAUGAUGAUUGGGUUUUCGUGCACAUGCGUGAGAUGUGCCUCCCUCAAUCCUUGUUAGGACAUCGGCACAUUACCCGUCUGACA